rnacentral:rRNA from 1 species
UCUAAUACCGGAUAACACUGUCCCCCUCCUGGGGGACGGUUGAAAGCUCCGGCGGUGCAGGAUGAGCCCGCGGCCUAUCAGCUUGUUGGUGGGGUAAUGGCCUACCAAGGCGACGACGGG